AGUAACCUACUUGCCACCUGGGGAGGUACAGCGUGGCUUGACUGGAUAGUAGCCUCUUUGGGUUUUGCUUCAAACCCAACCUAUUUGAAGCUCAGCAGCGAUCUGGACUACAUCCUGGGUUCCAGAAAAGGCAGAGGUUCUUACCGAAAGCAGGUAAGUGUCUUGUCUGCAUUAAGCUCAGAGUUGGUAGGAAAAGACUCUUCUAGCAAAUAAACCAUUUGGGGAAAGGGGAAGAGCAGCCAGUGGGACAGGGACACUCAUCCCAUUUGUUGGACAGAGUCAGAAGGGGUGGGUACGAGGAAGUGGCUACCGCUGACUAUGGGGUAUCCCAGGCAACAUCCAAGCCAGGAAACAAGUGAUUUUCUUGGCAAUAAGUCAGGAACUGGCUCCUGGCUACUAGUGUGAGGGGCUCAUUCCUGGGAAUACUCACCCUUGCUCUGCUAAUAAGAGGAAGUAGGUGGGGACGUGGGCAUCACCCUGAGGUCCCCAACCCAGCUCCUCACAGUGGGAAGAAAUGAGCACAGCUCUACAGUGGAGCCGGCAGUCUCGUGACAAG
rnacentral:sRNA from 1 species